AUCAGGCUUGAGGCAUGGGCAGAAACAGCAUAAUGUAAGUGAUGAAUCGUUUUGCAGAAUUCGAUCUAACUAAUUUCAUUUAAUUCAGUGGAUUUCCCCAUUUCGAUUAAAUUUUCUAGAAAAACCCAGUCAAUCAAUCAAUCAAUCAAGCAGCUGCCCGCAUACCCCGCCCUCAUAGUCAGAAAACAAAAUGGCUCUCCAGAAAGUGACAAAUUUUAUCUCGCAUUGGUACUUGCAGUAUAUACUCGUUACAGCGUUGUACAUGUUGGAGCCAUGGGAGAGGAUGAUUCUAAAUACUCUGUUCUGUUCAGUGAUUGUCAUGUCUCUCUACACCACCUAUUUAUUUGCACCGCCUCAUGUCUACAUGAUGUUGGAGUGGCUUGACUGGAUGUAGCUGCUCUAGAUGGAGAAUCUCACAACUGCUUUUUAAGUGUAUCACCUGGACUGAAUCCAUUUCAUAGUGUGAUUGGACAAAUCACCACUGCAGUCAGACAUUGUCAAACAUUCCAUUCAUCCACAGUAGAGUGCUUCACCCACCUUUCAUGAUGCGUAAAAUGUCUAAAUUGCCA